rnacentral:rRNA from 1 species
UAUCUCUGUAGAGUCUGCAUAUCAAUAAGCGGAGGAAAAGAAACUAACUAGGAUUCCCUUAGUAACGGCGAGUGAAGCGGGAAGAGCUCAAAUUUGAAAUCUUCAAGGUUUUACCUUGACGAAUUGUAGUUUAAAGAAGUGUUUUCUGUUGGUGUUUUGGUAAAAGUUCUUUGGAAUAGGACAUCAUAGAGGGUGAGAAUCCCGUAUUUGACCAUUACUUUCCAGCUUUGUGAUACACUUUCAAAGAGUCGGAUUGUUUGGGAAUGCAGUCCAAAAUGGGUGGUAAAUUUCAUCUAAAGCUAAAUAUUGGCGAGAGACCGAUAGCGAACAAGUACCGUGAGGGAAAGAUGAAAAGAACUUUGAAAAGAGAGUUAAACAGUACGUGAAAUUGUCAAAAGGGAAGCGUUUGACACCAGUGUUGUUUUUCCGAAAAUCAAUUACGAAUGGCUUGAUUUUGUGUUGUAUUGACCUUAUCAGCUUUCUUCACUUUUUUCGAGUCUUUCUUAAUGCACUUUUCGGUUAACAAGUCAACAUCAAUUUCUUUUGUUGUAAAAGAGUAUUCGGAAGGUGGCUUUCUUUUCGGAGAAAGUGUUUAUAGCCCUAUACUUCUACAAUCGGAGAGAUUGAGGUCUGCAGCGUAGAUCCUUCGGGGUUAGAUACACUUGUGCUAAGUUGUAGCUUUUCAUAGACAACUUGUUAACUAUGUUUAGUCAUGCGGCUUACUCGCUUGUGCUAUUUUACCUACGCUUAGGAUGUUGACGAGACUGUCGAUCUC